GGAGAAGACGGGCUCCCCGACACAUUCUCCAGGUCGGAAAGCACGGAGCUGAACACAAACAACACAGGAUCCUGCUGAACUCCAACCUGGCCGGCCUGUAGUGUUCGCUGUCUCUGAAAGCACCCCCAGCCAAUACUGGGGAAGAGGAAAAAUCAAACCAAAACAAAAAGCGCUACCCCGAGUGCUUUCCGCCUGUGGCCCGUGGAGAGAUUACAGCAGGCCACAAUGCCGGCACUUACAUUGAACACUGGUUCCCCUUUCCAGAAUUUAGAAGCUUACGAGCCCCAAAAUUCGUCUUUAAAGCAGAUGCAGGACAACACCUCCUGGAGGUCAGGCUGAGACAUCAGGAACCAAGAAACUGUUUUAUCCGAAGCUGGGCCCGCCUGCCCGAAAAGGCACAGCGUAUCCACCCCACCCCUGCAGCACCAUCCAGCCCGUCUGAAGAGGAGUUACUACAAAUGUCCGAGCCUCCGCCGAGCCUACCCUCUGCAACAACCCCGGAGCCCGAACGGGAGUUCUUGGACCUCUCCAGUCGCCAGCAUCUUUGGUGAGCACCACAGGAGUGCACAGGAUUGGGGUAGCAGCCACAGCAGCGCUGAAUACGGAGGAUCAGCAACUCUCUGGCUGCUAAGAAGGCUCCUGUGUCUAUAUCCAACGAUCAGCCAGGCCUGAAACCUUCUUGUAUGCCAGUGCCUGAACUCACAGCUACUGAGUCAUGCAACUACAGAUCAUUAAAUAUAUAUGAAGUGAAAUUUUGGGCUUAGGGUAUAAGUUCACAAAAAUCCUGUGUUACGUGUCUUCUGGGCCAGGAGGGAGGGAGGGAGGGAAUCUAGCUCUGGUUUAAUAAUGAUAGAUGAUUACUGCUUUUGAAGUGCUAAAUUGUCUACACAGCCAAAAGACUUUUUUAACAUAAGUGCAGUUAAAGGUUUAAAACUGUAUGCUCACACCAAGAGUCUAACCCUUCAUCCUGCGAUGAGCUCGGUGCGGUGAAGCCCUGUAUUCACCCUGGAGAAUCGAGAGUACUGUACGGUACAUAAGGCAUGGAAAUUGAAGAUGUGUGAUUGAUAGUUUUCCAGGUAGUGCAGUUCUGCUGGGUGCCAGCACAGAUAACUGAAGGGCAAUGUUUUGUUUUGAUGUUGCAUGCUCUUCUCAUUGCAAAGACCUUUCUUCUCUCCAGAAAACUAGGUCAUUAUUUGCUGUUUUCUGCAUUACUUUAUCUCUUGUCUUGGUCUUUCAAGACAACUCACUAUUAUCCAGGUAGCAGCCUUUGUCAGUGGAUGUCAGACCUGCAUUGUUGAGGCACCGUCCCUGAUUUUACCCUCAAGACUGUGAUGGAUGUUCAUUUUCUUUAUGAUGAUGUCCUAGCCUAAACACUUGGUUCCAUAUAGUCUAUUACUUUUUGGGCAUAAUGUGUGUGCACUAUUAUAGAUACGUAAUCUAAGAACAAGCAAAGUCCAGGUUAAGGGCAUCUGUUGUUUAAAAGAAGUGGAACAAAUGGCCAAGUUAUCAGAUUUUGCUUGUUGAAAUGGGCAAUAGUAUGAUAAUUUUCCAUUGUCAGUGUACUGUUUGUGGGUUUUUUACUGGUCUAGUGCCAGCUUUCAAAGAAUAAUAGAAACCACCUACUGAUCGAUAUCAGUCUCAGCUAUUGCGAAAUUCUUAAUAAAUGGUUGUUACCCAAAAAUUUGCAUUUCUCUUUUGAA